rnacentral:rRNA from 1 species
GAUGAACGCUGGCGGCGUGCCUAAUACAUGCAAGUCGAGCGAACGGACGAGAAGCUUGCUUCUCUGAUGUUAGCGGCGCACGGGUGAGUAACACGUGGAUAACCUACCUAUAAGACUGGGAUAACUUCGGGAAACCGGAGCUAAUACCGGAUGAUAUUUUGAACCGCAUGGUUCAAAAGUGAAAGACGGUCUUGCUGGCACUUAUCGAUGGAUCCGCGCUGCAUUAGCUAGUUGGUAAGGUAACGGCUUACCAAGGCAACGAUGCAUAGCCGACCUGAGAGGGUGAUCGGCCACACUGGAGCUGAGACACGGUCAAGACUCCUACGGGAGGCAGCAGUAGGGAAUCUGCCGCAAUGGGCGAAAGCCUGACGGAGCAACGCCGCGUGAGUGAUGAAGGUCUUCGGAUCGUAAAACUCUGUUAUUAGGGAAGAACAGAUGUGUAAGUAACUGUGCACAUAUUGACGGUACCGAAUCAGAAAGCCACGGCUAACUACGUG